UGGGAAGAAAAAUGUCCCAUACAAAUAAACAGCUGAACGGUUUAAGAGGAAUAUGUCACUUGUCACGUCUACUCCUAGCAUGAAAGACUUGAAUGGUAAACGAGUGCCCUCUCAUCUACCAAUCAAGUCGUGAAACUCAUUUUUCUUUGAGCACUAUAUAAUCUUUAUGGAACGAGUUGCCAAACAAUUUUUUGACAUUCGUAGACCUGCUCCUCUUUAAAAUAUUUUCUGUUCUCAGUCUCUACUCCUAUCUGUGACUCUUCACCUGCUCCAGUGGACCCUCAUGCUUGUUUUUCAAUUACAUUUUGAUGUUCAUUGUCACGCCCCAGUUUGAAAAUCACCACUCUUCUUUAUGAUCAGUUUCCGUUAUCAUUGCAUUUUGCCCAGAGACCUGCCACUGAAAUUUGGCCUUCUCAGACUCAGCCAAGAUAGAGCUGGAGUGGGUUUUAUCUAUGUCGACUUUUAGAGUUAACCCAAGUUGCAAAUUUCGCUACUUCCAUUGGGGAAUUGCAGGAUCGAGAGCCAUGUCAAUUUCUCUCAAAUUGCAAUAUGGGUUUCACUAAUCUUGCCCUAACAAGUGGAUGAAGGAAUCACAAAAAAUGUCCAGUUCGCCGGAUUCAGAUAUGGGGAUAAGUGAAGAUUAUGUCUGCAGUUUCUGCAGGUAUUGGUUUACAUAAAAUGGAUGAUUCUAGCUUAGCAUGUAAGAAGGGAGGUUCUGAUGAUCAAACUAUGAAUUGGCAACCAAGGAUGCUUUGUCUCUUGAAGAUAGUGAAGUUAGACAAUUUGGAGGUUUGACGUAUGUGAUACAUCCGUAGAUGUUCUUCGCCUUAUCUUAAGUAACAAAUGCCUGAUUAACACUAGUAAACAAAAUUAUUACUCAGAUGCUUUUAGAGAACAAAGACAUUGAAAAAAUAGUAAAUGCAGUAGAAAUAAGGUUUCGGAAA